AGUGCGUUAAACUAAGUUUAAAAGUGGGGACGUAAAUAAUAUUUGCAAAGUUGAGGAAGGAGUACCAAGCGAUGGAAGCACCCUUGUGUUGAUCCAUGGAUUUCUCACCUCCAGCCAUGAUUGGAGCAAGCUUGACCACGACUACCUGAUUACGGAACAGGCAGACAUUCACGAGGCUCUGCUGACGUCACUUUCCAUACCACGCGCACACGUGAUGUCACAUGACUACGGCGACACCGUGGCCUUGGAACUGCUUCAUAG